GCGGAGGGCCGGAUGGCCGCGCGGGGCCUUCGGGUCUUGCGAGGAAAGUCCGGACUCCACAAGGCAACGGUGCCGGGUAACGCCCGGGCGGGGCAACCCGACGGAAAGCGCCACAGAGAAGAGACCGCCACGCGCACCGCUUCGCGGCGCGCGGGUAAGGGUGAAACGGUGGGGUAAGAGCCCACCGGGGGGCUGGCAACAGCGCCCGCAUGGCAAGCCCCACCGGGAGCAAUGCCGAAUAGGGAUCGCGCGCCGGCCUGAUCCUGGACCCAGGUCCGGGAUAUCGCGGCAGGGGCGCCUUGGCCCGAGCGAUCCGGGUUGGCAGCUUGAGCCCGCGGGCAAUCGCGGGACCAGAGGAAUGGUCAUCCAGAGGGGGCGACCCCUUGGACAGAAUCCGGCUUACAGGCCCUCCGCGCGU
rfam:Rhodobacteraceae bacterium HLTCCO07 ITZY_scaf_183, whole genome shotgun sequence.